AUUGAACGCUGGCGGUAUGCCUAACACAUGCAAGUCGAACGAGGUAGCAAUACCUAGUGGCGGACGGGUGAGGAAUACGUAGGGAUCUGCCCUUAAGUGGGGAUAACCCGGGGAAACCCGGAUUAAUACCGCAUGAUCUCGCAAGAGCAAAGAGGGGGACCGCAAGGCCUCUCGCUUUUGGAGGAACCUACGUCGGAUUAGCUAGUUGGUGAGGUAAUGGCUCACCAAGGCGACGAUCCGUAACUGGUCUGAGAGGAUGAUCAGUCACACCGGAACUGAGACACGGUCCGGACUCCUACGGGAGGCAGCAGUGGGGAAUAUUGGACAAUGGGCGAAAGCCUGAUCCAGCAAUACCGCGUGUGUGAAGAAGG
rnacentral:rRNA from 1 species